AUUGUAAAUCACUAUGAGUGAACUACCGUAGAUAUCAUUCUUGGUCAUAUUUUCAAAUCCCUGUGGGAAUUGUACAAAAGCAAUGUCAUGGCCAUUCUCUUUGUCCAUGAAGAAGCAAAGUGCAUCCCAUAUGCAAAGUGAGUUGUUUGAGUACAUAUCACAGUCUAGAUUCAGAAUAAUCUGUCCAUUGCUGAUGUUUGAUGACACUCUGAUCAAUGCAUUCAUGGCACCAGCUUUGAAAUUGUGGGGAUGUUGAGGUCUCUUCUCUCUAGCAAGGUAUACUAAAGUAGGCAAUGUACCCCCAUCAAUGUCUGUGGCAUUUGGAUCCUUUCCGU
rnacentral:misc_RNA from 1 species